CCUACGGGUGGCUGCAGUGGGGAAUAUUGCACAAUGGGGGAAACCCUGAUGCAGCGACGCCGCGUGAGUGAAGAAGUAUCUCGGUACGUAAAGCUCUAUCAGCAGGGAAGAAAAUGACGGUACCUGACUAAGAAGCCCCGGCUAACUACGUGCCAGCAGCCGCGGUAAUACGUAGGGGGCAAGCGUUAUCCGGAUUUACUGGGUGUAAAGGGAGCGUAGACGGCAGCACAAGUCUGGAGUGAAAUCCCGGGGCUUAACCCCGGAACUGCUUUGGAAACUGUGCGGCUGGAGUGCAGGAGGGGUAAGCGGAAUUCCUAGUGUAGCGGUGAAAUGCGUAGAUAUUAGGAGGAACACCGGUGGCGAAGGCGGCUUACUGGACUGUAACUGACGUUGAGGCUCGAAAGCGUGGGGAGCAAACAGGAUUAGAUACCCUAGUAGUCC
rnacentral:rRNA from 1 species